CAGCGCAAAUACUUUGAAUCUGACUAGGCGCUGGUGCUGGGCACUCAGAGCUCGCUAUGAGGUUACAGUGCUCGGAAGCCCUUCAGGAUUAACUCAACUCGGGGCACAGCUGUUUGGAGCCUGCCAGCAAUUAGAAAUCUUUCUCUCUCACAGACAAAUCAUUACUGGAAUUCAUCAUAGAGAUAAAUACUAGCCACUUAGAAGAAGCAUUUGAAUGUUUGAACACUACCAUGAAUCAGUCAUCACUAAGCUAAUGACACACAUCGGGCAGAUUUAGCUGUGUCCUUGUGGACGAGCUUUCUCCUCCUGGGCUGGAUAAGCAUAUGGAAGGGCUGUGAUUCACUAUCCCUGAAGAUCUGAAUCAAUCAUUUAAGUUACAGCAUGUGUGAGGAUCGCCCAGAAAACUGCUGGGAACCUCUCCAGGGAUCUGAAUCACCCAGGAAGGGUUGAGGGUCUACAAAAAGCUCCACGAAUAAGGUGAAUAGGAAGGUGUAUGUCUUUCCAUCCUCAGAAAGCUGCCAGUAAUCAGCCAAUGAAGCAGUUGCACGGGAAACAACUUCAAAAAAACAUUUGUACUGUACAUGUCUGAAUGAUUCAGUCAGAGCCGGGAGGAUCUGUGGCCAGAAGCAUUUCCAGCUUCCUGCAGCUUCACAAUGGAGUGCUUUGGAGGAAGCCAACACUUCACAUAUUUUGGAAAAUACUGUUGCUGUGCUUCAUUCUCAGCCCUUUCCUGAUACCUUAGAAGAAACAUAAACUCUUGGAAACAACAAAUGCUGAAUAUUUAGGAGCCACAGAUAUAAUGUAACCAGCACCUUCUGGCUCUGGACUCCACAGCAUCUGCAGCUCUCCACGUGCCUCCUCCACAGUGGAUGGUACCUUGGAAAUAUGCCCUGAAGACAUGAAUAAUGAAAUAAAGUGAAGACAACGGUAGUUUUGAAGGUACACAUCCUCACUCUCCUUCCUCUCACUAUGAUUCCAAAUGCUGAGAUUCCAGCUGAGCUUCCUCACAGGCCCACGGGUGUUGUCUCUGCAGCCAUAACCAUUCAUCCCUAUUUUAUUCAGAGAUCUCAGAAAAACAGCAUGAGCUGCUCUACAGCAGGACUGAUUCCUGGUGACGACCAACAGAGAACAGGAGCAAAUUUCAACCUUUCAUCUUUAGGGCUGAGAAGUACCAGAGUGAGUUUUCCUCUUUGAACUAAGGGAAUGCAGAACAUUGAUGGUCAAUGCUAAAUGUGAGCAGUGGAAACCAUCGCUCAGAAGGAAGUUUAACUUGAAAAAUGUAGUUCAGGUAAAAGCAAACAGAGGUCAAGUUAUUUUAUGUGGAUAAGUAACGUUAACAGCUGCAAGGAAUUUUUACCUCAUGUGGGAUAGACUCCUGUCUUAAUGCAUAUUGUAAUAAACACAUUAGCAAGCCUUCCACAUGUCAAUUAAUUAUCUUCUGCAACGUUACUGAAAACCCCAAUAAGCAUUUACUGAGAAUUCUUUGAAAUUAACUAGAAAUAUCCUAUGAAAAGAAAAAGAAAAAAGAUAUCACUAACCACACACACACACACACACACACACACACACACAGAGCCACAGUUUAUAAAUUCCAUGAGAAACAGCAUGAACCAAAUUUUUGCACUCUCUUAAGAUGUGAAAACAGAUACUUUCAAGGAAAAGUGACCUUGAAUGCAAAUAAGCGGUCUACUUACUCAAGAUUGGACAUCGGGUACCCAGCUUACAUUUAGAUUUUUUUCUGCAGACUUAGGGAAUGAGCAUGUCUUUGCUUCAUGAAAAGGCUGUAAACAUCAUUCAGUGUCACCAUGCAAGAAAACAUUGUUAUUCAUUUCCUGAUUAUCUGCAUACCCAGCUCUUUCUUGCUUAUGUUGUUAUAGACAUUACUGUCUAUGGAUGAAUGAGAAAGUGUAUCACAUGGAAGGUAGGACUGAUUCCAAUUACAGUGCGAUCCUGUAAUCAUGGACAGAUCAGAAACAAAAUGGGAACCUGCUGCCUCAGGCCUCUAUACUGCCUUGCUUUAAAAAGUGAGGUUUCCUGCUUGCAGAACUUCCUUUGUCUUCCCCAUUUAUUCUUUCUGCCUUGGUGAGAAUAAAA